GACGAACGCUGGCGGCGUGCUUAACACAUGCAAGUCGAGCGGACAGGCGCUGCGUUUGUGGGGUGCUCGAGUGGCGAACGGGGGAGUAAAACGUGAGUAAACUGCCCUUGACUGAGGGAUAACUUCAGGAAACUGGGGCUAAUACAGGGUAGGAGAUCCUGCUGCGUGGGGGGGGUUGGUGAGUGUCGGCGGUGGGGGCUGGACUCGCGGCUUAUCGGCUAGUUGGGCGGGUAGUGGCUUACCAAGGCUUUGACGGGUAGCCGGCCUGAGAGGGUGAACGGGCACCUUGGGCCUGCGAUACGGCCCAGACUCCUACGGGCGGCAGCAGUGGAGAAUAUUGCAGAGUGGGCGGAAGCCUGAUGCGGCAACGCUGCGUGCGGGAUGCAGGCCUUCGGGUUGUAAACCGAUUUCGCCUGUGCCGAACAGUGAGUGACGGUAAUGGGUCAGGAAGCCCCGGCUAACUACGUG
rnacentral:rRNA from 1 species